rnacentral:misc_RNA from 1 species
CCGAGUUUACAACUCCCAAACCCCUGUGAACAUACCUAUAUGUUGCCUCGGCGGAUCAGCCCGGCGCCUCGUGAAACGGAUCAGGCCCGCCGCUAGGAUCCACUAACUCUGUUUUAUUUGGAAUCUUCUGAGUAGUACAAAUAAAUCA